rnacentral:lncRNA from 1 species
AUUUGCUUUCUCACAAACAAGUGCACCUGUAAUAACAUCUUUUACAAUUUCCGAUGUGGAAUAUUAUUUCUUUUUUUUGAUAAAACAUACUUGCAUUCAUAAUAGAGAAUUACACUCCAUUAGAGGAGGAUGAGUUUAGCAAUGAGAGGGCUGAUUUUGCCACCGAAUCAGCCAUCACAUUACUCAAACGAGGUACAAACGAAAAGGAGAUAAAAUCAAACAACAAGCUAAAGUGAUAGAUGUCAAAUAAAAUACCAAACAAAGCUGGAACCGAGCCUCUUUCCUUCAGGAGCUUCACUAAGGAUUGGGAGUCGGACAGUAUCAUAAGGGAUUUAAUAUUCAACGAAGCGGCAUACAUAACCGCCGAACGGAUGGCGAGGGCUUCAGCCAUAAUCGCCGAUGAAACAAGACUACGCGAGUCACUGAUGGGAGGUAAGCAACCGUGUGGUCCCCCCCCCCGGAGAAGACUCCUCCUGUGCCGCAGUUCCUUGUGCCUGCAUCCCAAGCUCCAUCAACAUUGCAACGAAGCAUACCUGAUCGAACUUGGAGAGGAUGUUGCACACGUGCUUUCCCUGGGUUGGGGGGGAGCUGAGUGUCGCGAAACAGAGGCGGGGAUUGUGCAGACUGCCAUUUCCGGGCCUCAGAGAUGGCCUUAACCACUAUUUCCAUUGCAGAGAAAUUCCUGUUCUCAUAGCAUAAUCUGUUUCUUGCCUUCCAAAGGUUCCAAAGGAUCCAAGGCCACAGUGGAGUAUACAAACCAACAGGUGGGAGAAUAGUAAGAGUAUUGCAGCACUCAAUCAAGGACGCUAUAGUGGAUAUGGAUGACAGUGGCGUUGUGGCGAAAGAAGCUAGUUCCCAAACUCUUUCCGCGACUCUGCACUUGAGGAAAACAUGGAUAUCAUCUUCCAUUACAUCACAAGUUUUACAGUUGAAGGACGGGACUCCGCGUCGGCUCAGGUUCGCGCUCACCGGCACCGCUUUACGCAUCAGUUUCCAUAGGAAGUUCUUGAGCUUGGGUGAGGUUUUGAUGUUCCAUAUAUUCUUGAGCCAAUCAAAGGAGGGAGCUUGGGAGUCUUUGAGAUCAGAGAAGCCCAUUCCCACUCCAUAUCCUGUUUUAGUGGUAUAAACACCAGAUUUAUCAAAUAACCAGGCCAGAGAAUCCUGAGAUGGAGCAGAGCUUGUAACAAUGGUCAGGAUGUGCUCUUCGUACUGUGGUAAGUGUGCCCGUAUCUUGUCCUUGUCCCAGGAGUUUGAUAUGGGACACAGAAGAUCACUAACCCUCAGCUGCGCAUCUUGGUGAUUGAUCGGGCCAAUCGGUGCUUGGGGAGAGACACACGACAACCACGGGUCCUGCCAGACUCUGAUCUUCUCUCCGCUGCCUACGAUCCAUCCUAGUCCUUUCUUAAGGAUUUCUCUUCCAGCUAGGAUCCCCCGCCAUCCAUGUGACAUACUCGAUGGAGCUGUGCAGUCGAGGAAGGAAGUAUAACGAGCAUACUUACCUAGCAAGACUUGAGCAAGCAAAGAGUUAGGGGAGUGAAUCAAGCGCCAACCAAUCUUUGCUAGUAGAGCGUCAUUAAAGGUCUCGAUAUCCCAGAAACCUAAGCCUCCCGCAUACUUAGGCAGUGUGAGGGUAUCCCAAGCUACCCAACACAUUUUCUUUUGCUCCGGGUUCGCGUCCCACCAGAAUCUCGUGAGGAGAGAUUGUAUCUGUUUGCAUAGCGAUAGCGGGAUUUUGAAACAGGACAUCGUAUACGCCGGCAUAGCCGUGAGCACCGCUUUGAGGAGGAUCUCCUUUCCUGCCCCUGAGAGAAAGCGGUUUUUCCAGCUUAGAGUCUUCUGUCUAAUUCUGUCGAGAAUGGAUGCAAAGAUAUCUCGCUUCUUCCGGCCAAAGUGUUCGGGAAGGCCUAGAUAUUUCCCUAAUCCUCCCUCUGCUGUGAUAGCCAGUGUAGACUUCACCCGUGCCUUAACCUCAGGAGGAGUUUUAGCGGAGAAGGUGAUGGAGGAUUUAGCGAAAUUUAUACUCUGACCCGAGAGGGACUCAUACAGUCGAAUUAUCCGCAGCAGCGAGGAGACACUCGUCGGGUUAGAACGGCAAAAGAACAUCGUGUCAUCCGCAAAUAAUAAGUGGUUAAUGGCCGGGCUCCCACGAGCUACUCGGACUCCAGAAAGGGAACCAUCUCGCUGAGCCAUAGCACACAGCGCGGAAAGAGUUUCCGUACAUAGUAUAAAGAGGUACGGUGAUAGCGGGUCACCUUGCCGUAUUCCACGGGAUGGGGUAACUGAACCCAUAGGUGCUCCGUUGAUCAGGAAGGAAUAGGUAACCGUCUCCACACAACUCAUAACCCACGAGAUCCAAGUCUGAUCGAAACCCAAUAGCUCUAGAACCGCCCGGAGGAAGCCCCAUUCGAUCCUGUCGUAGGCCUUGCUCAUGUCCGUUUUGACGGCCAUGGAGCAGUAUUUCUUUGCCUCGGAGGUGCGGAGAUAGUGAAGUGUCUCGUGAGUUAUCAAUACAUUGUCCCCGAUGGCACGACCCGAAACAAACGCUGACUGAGAUUGAGAGAUGAGCGACGGGAGUAGUGGUUUGAGCAUGCGGGUCAAGAUCUUGGCAAUGAUCUUAUAGUGCGUGUUGCAUAAAGCAAUGGGCCGAUACUCUGCUACUUUCCUCGCUCCUGUGGUUUUGGGUAUCAAUCGAACGUGCGUCUCGUUCUGUUGCGGCUGUAGGUCACCAGAGAGGAAGAACUGUCUAACAUCGCUGCAUACAUCCGGUCCUAUAAUAUGCCAAUACGAGUGAUAGAAUUUGGCCGAGAAACCGUCCGGACCCGGGGCCUUUCCUCCAUUGAUCGAGAAGACCGCUUCCUUAAUUUCCAAGUCUGUCGGAAUCAAAAUAAGCUUCUGGUUCAUCUCUGUUGAGACCUUUCGAGAGAGAAUGGCAGGUAAUCUUGAGAAGUCGGCAUUGCCGUUGGAUGUAAAUAUAUUGUUGAAGUAGUCUGAUAUAACAGAGCAGAUCUGUUUCUCUUCGAAAAAUUCAGCGCCAUUGCAGUCCUCUAUGACAGAGAGAGAGUUAAUCAAUCGCCUUUGUCUCGUUGCCGCAUGGAAAAAGCCAGUGUUCCUAUCUCCACAUUUCAACCACUGUAUCCGACUUCUUUGUUGCCAAAAGAGUUCCUCCUCCUUAUAAGCCUCCACCAAGGAAUUAGUAAGCUUCUCAAUGUUGUCUCUGUCCGGCGCAGGAGACGUUAGGGCUGAUUCCAGAUCCUUUUGCAGUUGAACCUUGAGUUCAUUGUAUUUCUGGUUCUGCUCCUUAGCCCAUUGGAUUAUUCUUCGUCUGCAUUCAUUGAGCUUUGUUAUAACUGAGUCGAGUGGGUAGUGAUUCCAAGCACCUGCCACUACUGCUUCCAUUUCCGGCUUCUCAGUCAAAGAUCGGUUGAAACGGAACAUCCCACGGCGCUUUGAUCCUGAUUUAUUAAAGUAUGUAAUGAGCGGCCGGUGAUCCGAACCUUCAAACCGUAAAUAGCAACACCUUCCCAUUGGGAAUAAUUCAUUCCAAGAACAGUUGACCAUAGACCGGUCGAGUCUUGAUCUUACAAAAUGGGUGUAUCUGGUUCCUCGCCACGACAAGUGGUUUCCAGAAUGUUUUAAAUCCCAUAAACCAUGUUGAGAUACAAAGGUGCGUAAAGAAACAAAAGAUCCCUCCCAUCUUGCUGGACCUCCUACUUUUUCCGCAUUACUGAGUAUGUCGUUGAAGUCACCUGAGAUGAGCCAAGGUGUAUCUCGACCUCUGCCCACUUCAGAGAGCUUCUCCCAGAAUUGCGUCCGGUUUCCCACCGCCGGUGCACCAUAUAUAAAGGAGAUGAAAGUGGUGACACCCUUAUGAGUCACCUGUGUAUCAAUGAGGUUCGGGCAUGAUGUGGAAUAUUAUUUCUAAUAUGCCAAUUUGAGCUGAUAAAUUUUUAAUCUCUUUUUUAGAAUAUUUAGCUUUGGCUAAUGAUUGAUGAAUCAUCUCCUUCCCUUCGCCGAGUCUUUUCGGGGCUCGUCGAAACAAUAUCAGAACAACUUGGCGGGCAUUCUUUCCAGCCCGGGGGAUGAGUUUUGUUUGAACAUAGGCUCAAACAUGAUUUGAAGGUCCUAGCUAAUUUUGAGCCGGAUUGAUUCUAGUUUAGGUUUGAUUGUAUAUAUGGAUUGUAGAUGAGUUUCUUAUUUAAAAUUAAUUGGUAAUAAAUAUAUUAGCUUAUCUCUCUUAUAUAUUGUUUAAGAUAUUUUUCAGUUUUUGCUGUGAGAAAUUGUUCUUCUCCACAUCUAAAACAGAUGGGA